rnacentral:lncRNA from 1 species
UUUCAUAAUCAAUUAGCUGUAAAGAAAGACUAAAUAUGUGCCUUCCAAGUAAUAAAAUUAUCUUAAUUAAGUUGAUCGAACUGCAAUUGAAGGCAAAAUGGUAUGUAUAUAGGCAUGGAGUUGGAGAAGGAUGCCAUAGAGGUUGUUAAGGUUGAAGGCUCUAAUACCAUGUGGGAAAAAGAAUAUGCAAGAAAGAAAAUAUUAUG